rnacentral:lncRNA from 1 species
GGGGGAGCAAACGGCUGGAGCGCCGCGCGGUGCACUGUGGGGCGGAAGCAGAGAGUCACCGCUCCGUUAGGGCCGCCAUCUUGUCUGCGUCCGGACCUGCUGCCGCUCUCGGGGCCUGCUCGUUCUCUUCGUCGCGUGAAGCGGUGGAGAAAGUGAGGACGCGGCGCACGGCCGGGUGGUGCUGAUGCGUGCGGGGUCUUCUCGCUCCUCCCUCGGGCGCCGCUAGUAGAAGGGGGCGGAGGUAGCCGGGCGGUCUCCGGUGCGGCCUUUCCUCUCCUCGGCCGGGAUGGGUCGGUCCCGCAGCCGGAGCUCGUCCCGCUCCAAGCACACCAAGAGCUCAAAGCACAACAAGAAGAAUCGGAGCCGCUCGCGGUCCCGCUCUCGGGAGAAAGAGCGGGCGCGGAAGCGGUCCAAGUCCCGGGAGAGCAAACGCAACCGGCGCCGCGAGUCCCGCUCCCGCUCCCGCUCCAACACGGCCCCCUCCUCCCGCCGCGAUCGGGAACGCGAACGCGAGCGCGCCUCGUCCCCGCCGGACCGCAUCGACAUCUUCGGGCGCACGGUGAGCAAGCGCAGCAGCCUGGACGAGAAGCAGAAGCGGGAGGAGGAGGAGAAAAAAGCAGAGUUCGAGCGGCAGCGGAAAAUGAGAGGUGCUCCAGCCCUCUGAUCAUCUUAGUGGUCCUCCUCAAGACCUGUUCUAAGAGCUCUGC